rnacentral:rRNA from 1 species
GAUGAACGCUGGCGGCGUGCCUAAUACAUGCAAGUCGAGCGAACGGACGAGAAGCUUGCUUCUCUGAUGUUAGCGGCGGACGGGUGAGUAACACGUGGAUAACCUACCUAUAAGACUGGGAUAACUUCGGGAAACCGGAGCUAAUACCGGAUAAUAUUUUGAACCGCAUGGUUCAAAAGUGAAAGACGGUCUUGCUGUCACUUAUAGAUGGAUCCGCGCUGCAUUAGCUAGUUGGUAAGUUAACGGCUUACCAAGGCAACGAUGCAUAGCCGACCUGAGAGGGUGAGCGGCCACACUGGAACGGAGACACGGUCUAGACCCCUAAGAGGGGCAGCAGUCGGAAAUCUGCCAAAAUGGGCGAAAGCCGGACGGAGCAACGCCGCGUGAGGGAUGAAGGUCUGGGGAGCGAAAAACUCUUUUAUGAGGGAAAAACAUAUGUGUAAGUAACUGUGCAGAGCUAGACGGUACCUAAUCAGAAAGCCAGGUCAAAAUACG